rnacentral:lncRNA from 1 species
UCUAGAACUCAGCAUUGGCCAAGGUAAUAUGUCUUAAUAGAUUAAUACAGGCAGUCCUUACCUGGCUCUGAAUGCAUAAAAUUCAGUAACGAUGAUUUAGUUAAGUAACCACAGUCCCCCAACAAUACAGUGUAAGUUUCAGUUACAGUAUUGUGAGUAGUUAGACUACUACAAACUUCAUUAUUAGCUCUUCAGUCCACAGAUCACUAAGUAAAUAAUUGACGUGCAUCAUGAUCACUACCAACUGUGCUACUUGCUUCAAAGUUUGUUGGCGAUUGAUUCCUGAGCAUCAGUUAACAAGUCCACAUGCAAACAGCAAGGUAUGUAAUUAUACUGACUUCUUGUCUCACUGUAGUAAAUCCAGAUGAUAUUUUACAAAAUGGAUAAUUGAAAGGGGGAUUGGUCAACAAGAUCAAAUGCUGGGGAAGAAAGGAAAAGAAGAAGGAAAGAAAGAAAGAAAGAAAGAAAGAAAGAAAGAAAGAAAGAAAACAAAAGAGAAGAGAAAAAAGAAAAGAAGAAAAGGAGGAUAACAUUGGAAGUAAAAUUUGAAUCAAAUGUAAAUGGAGUUAUAAGAAAAAGCUGAGUGUGGGAAGGUUGACACUGGGACCACUCCGAGGUGAACUUGUUAACAUAAAUGAGUAAAGCGGUUGUGAUGGAAAGGAUGAAGAUGUCUCAGGGGAAGUGAUGCCAUCAAAAACUGCAUUUAGGAACUCUCAAAGAUAUAUCAUAGCACUGAAGUAUAAAGAGUAAAAUGUUGGAAACUGACCAAACUUUGAAAGGAGUAAGACAAUUCUCCAGAGCAUAAAAAAGAUGUUCACUUCAUAUGUUACCAAGUGUUCAGUGUCUCUCAACACCUUAGAAUUAUUGAAUAUAACUGCAUUUCUGAGGAAAAUGGAAGAAGCUGAGGUAUGUUUCAAUGUUCUAGUUGUCACUGUUUGCAUCGAUUAUGCUGUAGAUAACACACCAAAAUUAACUGUGGUAAAAUUUAUGUCUCUUAAAAAUUAC